AAGCCCCUGCGGUCCCCUGAACUCCGAAAACGUCGGCGGACGGAGCCUCUCGUGCCAGCCGAAGCCCCAAAGUCGGCGCUGACUGACUGGGAUGCCCUGCUGCCAGGUGAGAGCGGCGCGCCGCCGAAGGGGGGCCACGUGAGCGGCGAGCGCCCAUUGGCCGCCGCCGAGCGUGACGUCGUGCGACGUCGCGGAACGGCGGCGGACUGUUCGCCGGCCGACUCGGCCGCGCGCCGUCAGUUUGACGCGAGAGCCCUAGGUGGAGGUGAUACAGGCACCAGCGUCGUCGGCUUUCGCGAACUUCCAAAACUGCCCGUCCGAUGUGAGUGUCAGUGGGCGCACAGCGGGCUCCUCGAUUCGGCGCUGGGGAGUAGCACGCACAGCAUGCGCGGCCAGCCGGAUUGUGACACCCUGUCCACUGAUCUGCUGCUGCCGACCACGCAUCUGCUGGGAUGUUUUGCCGCUAACGCCACAUGCUUAUACACAAGUUCGUGGUACCGAUCACUUUAACGCUGCUCGUCAGUCUUGUAAUGGAGCCGCGGUGAAGUUCAUUCCGCGUUCACUGUCAACAAACCUUUCGGAACGUGGUUCCGCUAAGUGGGUCAAAAGCAAAGUGCAGAAAGGAAAAAAGAAAGAAGGCAGCUGACUGAGACUACUCUCGGAUGAUGGCGCUGUUUUCUUUUCGAGGAGCGCCCGCUGAAGGCGACCGCAAGAGGAGCGCCGUCCACUCGGCAUUGACGGCUUCACGGUCAGACGCCGGCUGCUUUCGGCGCGGUUUCGCAAGUGGCUUCGUCGCACGCCAAGAGGCUCCCGUCUAUAUAAGCGAGGAAGGGUGGGGAGAGAAUAAACGGCCAUCGAGAGAAGCCGCAGCGCAUCCCUGGCUUUUAUUAUUUAUUUUUUGUCUCUCUCUCUCUCGCUCACCUUGUGCGAAGUAAUUAGAUUUAUGCACACACACUUCGGGGCAGCCAGCUCGGAACGUUGACAUUCGUUUUUUUUUUUUUUUUUUUUUUUUAGUGGUAUGCCGCUCGCGCGUCGGGACUCCGAGGGGAGACAAGCGUUUACGGUCAUUAGGAAUAAACUUUAAUCCAUCACGUUUACGAAUGCGCCUAUCUGUCGAAUCUGUCAACUAUAAGGCCCGAGCGGCAUGCGAAGCACAGAUCGGCGCGAACGUUCUUCUCGACGCGGUACGCUAUUUAUGGUCGAAUAUUUUUCAACCCGCCUGUACUCCGCGCAACUGUAGAGAAUAUAAAUGCCGUUUUGCAAGUUGCCC